rnacentral:lncRNA from 1 species
CGGAAAGGUAUCACAAUAGUCAAUCAGACUACCAAACGCCAAAUCUGCAGCAUAGUGAAUAAUAAGGGUAAGUCAACUAUCGGCACCGAGACUUUACCGGAAUACUAUGAUUUUUCAACCGUAGACGUAUUUCACCGUUCUGGUCAUAUCUUAUUUCACGACUUUUUUACGUUUGAAGGUUCUACGUAUAGUUUUUUUUUUCUCAGAUGAGUUGUUGUCUAGAUCUGUAAAUAUAAGGCACUUUAGCCGACGAAAUUAUAUUUUUUCGUCGGCUAAACUUUUAAAAAUUUCGUCGGCUAAAGUUUAAAAAUUUCGUCGGCUAAAGUCCACUUUAGCCGACGAAUUUUUUUCGUCGGAUAAACUUUUAAAAAUUUCGUUGGCUAAAGUUCACAGACUAUAGCCGACGAAAAAAAUUAUUCAGCCGAUGAAAUAUUACUUUCGUCGGCUAAAGUUGACCAUAGCCGACGAAAAUUUUAAAUUAGCCGACGAAGAAAAAUUCGUCGGCUAAAGUGGACUUUAGCCGACGAAAAAAAAAUUUCGUCGGCCUGGUUUUUUUAUUUUCGUCGGCUAAAGCCUUUCUUCUGGUAGUGCAAGUGUUAUGUAAAUGUUCCGUUUCAAAAACAAACUAUACGUAAAACCUUCAAACGCCAAAAAGUCAUGAAAUAAGAUAUUACGAGAAUGUUGAAAUACAUCCACGGUUGAAAAAUCACACUAUUCCGGUAAAUAUUCGGUGCCGAUAGUUGCGGUCAAUGCAAUUUUUCAUUCUUUCCCCCUAUGAGUAGCCCUAUAUUCGGUGGUUAUUUUGCGUAAAAUUUUUAUACGACUUGUUGCGUGUCAUCGAUUUAAAACUAUUUUCAGUUGGAGGUUCGGCCAAAAUAUGUAAUUUAGACGGUCGAACGACCUUUUCCGUGCGUUUAGGGGUUUGACUUACGAGAUUGACCGUCCAGAUCGAGCCCUUAUUCUUGUCGGAUCAAGUUGAAUUUUUUCCCAUACAUGUAUUUUAUCAUGAUGGUCAGAUCUGAAGGUCGGAUUUAUUUUUCUCAACUUUGAUCAUCACAAUCACAAUGUGCCAAAUGUAUAAAAAUACUUUUAGCCGACGAAUUUCAAAGGUUAGCCGACGAAUUUCAAAGGUUUAGCCGACGAAUUUAUAAAGUUUAGCCGACGAAUUUAUAAAGUUUAGCCGACGAAUUUCAAAGUUUUAGCCGACGAAUUUAGAAGGUUUAGCCAACGAAUUGAUGUAUAG